ACGGGAGGCAGCAGUGGGGAAUAUUGGGCAAUGGGGGAAACCCUGAUGCAGCGACGCCGCGUGAGUGAUGAAGUAUUUCGGUACGUAAAGCUCUAUCAGCAGGGAAGAUAAUGACGGUACUGACUAAGAAGCCCCGGCUAACUACGUGCCAGCAGCCGCGGUAAUACGUAGGGGGCAAGCGUUAUCCGGAUUUACUGGGUGUAAAGGGAGUGUAGGUGGUCUGGCAAGUCAGAUGUGAAAGCCCGCGGCUCAACCGCGGGACUGCAUUUGAAACUGUCAGACUGGAGUGCAGGAGAGGAAAGUGGAAUUCCUAGUGUAGCGGUGAAAUGCGUAGAUAUUAGGAAGAACACCAGUGGCGAAGGCGGCUUUCUGGACUGUAACUGACACUGAGGCUCGAAAGCGUGGGGAGCAAACAGGAUUAGAUACCCUGGUA
rnacentral:rRNA from 1 species